UUUCGAUUUUGACUUUCUUCCCAUUCUUCGUUCGUCAUGACUGAUUCCAACGUCCCCAUUUUUACACCGUCGUUGUCUUCUGAGACAAUUCCGGCUUCUACAUCUCUUCCUUCAUCUUGCAAUGAUUCUCCUCCGAAUCCCUACUACCUUCAUCAUACUGAUAACACAGGUCUUGUUCUUGUGAAUCAACUCUCAUUGAGGAGAAUUACACGUCGUGGAGUCGAUCGAUGAUAAUUGCACUCUCUGUCAAGAACAAGUUAGGUUUCGUUGAUGGAACCAUUCUACUUCCUUCUAGAGAUUUACUCCAUGCCUGGAUUCGAAACAAUCACGUUGUUAUUGCCUAGAUCCUCAAUUCGGUGUCCAAGGAAAUUUCCACGAGCAUCCUAUUUCCGGAAUCUGCUUGGGACAUUUGGAUCGACCUAAAGGAAAGAUUUGAGAAGAGCAAUGGACCUCGUAUUUUUCAAUUGAAGCGUGAAUUGGCUACCCGCUCUAAACAACAUUCGGUGAGUUUUUAUUUCACCAAAAUCAAGUCGCUAUGGGACGAAUUAAGUUAAUAUCAACCGAUAUGUUCUUGCAAGUGUUCUUGCGGUGGUGCCAAAUCUGCUGCUGAGUUCCUUCCGUAUGAGUAUUUGAUGAAUUUCCUCAUGGGAUUUAAUGAAUCCUAUGCUCAAAUUCGUGCUAAACUAUUACUCAUGGAACCUCCACCUACCAUCAAUAAAGCGUUUUCUCUUGUUAAUCAAGAAGAACAACAACGCUCAAUCAAUACGACUUCAUCGUCGAAUUCCGCUUCACCUGCAUUUGCGCUCGCUGUUCAACAAUCGCCGCCCUCUGGAAAGGUUGUGUCUAAGCCAAAUUUUAAAUCCAAUUCAAGGACAAAUCGUUAGCGCCCUUUUUGCACUCACUGUGGAAAAGUCACACAGUUGAGCAUUGAUACAAAUUGCUCGGCUAUCCCCCUGGCUCUAAAUCUUUAGGCCAGCGUCAUUCUCAUCUGCUUCGUCACAUAAGCCAAGCAAUUCUUCCUCAUAAAGUCCUACUCCUCAAUCGAAGCCUGUUGAUUCUUAGGCAAUGACUGCUUCUCAAACCACUUUUGACAUGGCUGCUUAGUGUCAACAAUUGAUUCAGCUUCUUCAAUCUCAGAUGAAUGCCUCCAAGAACACUUCAGAUGACUCUGCAAAUUCAUAUAUGGCAGAUUCUGUUUGCGGAUAAUUCUUGUGUUGCUCAGGACAAGUCCACUUCGAGGAUGAUUGAAAGAAGUAAAUUGAGAAAUUGUCUCUAUUUUCUUGAGGAUUCUUCAUUGACUGGUGAUGUUCCCUCAUUACAUUAUGAUGUUCAUACUUCUAUGGCUGUUAGUAAUACAUUUGAUAUUUGGCACAAUCGUUAAUCGUUUUAAACAUCCCUCAUUUACACGCUUGAAUGUAUUACGUGAUACUUUGUGUUUUGAUUCACAUACUUGUAAGCAGCAUCUUUGUUCGAUAUGUCCUUUGGCUAGGCAAAAACGCUUGUCUUUUGAUUCCAGUAAUAACAAAGUUGCUCGUCCCUUUGAUU